rnacentral:rRNA from 1 species
GACGAACCGUGCGAACGUUAUUCGGAAUCACUGGGCUUAAAGGGCGCGUAGGCGGGCACGCAAGUCAGGGGUGAAAUACUCCAGCCCAACUGGAGAACAGCUUUUGAUACUGCGUGCCUCGAGGGGGGUAGGGGCAUGUGGAACUUCCGGUGGAGCGGUGAAAUGCGUAGAUAUCAGGAGGAACACCGAUGGCGAAGGCAAUCCCCUGGGCCUGCACUGACGCUCAUGCACGAAAGCGUGGGGAGCAAACAGG